rnacentral:misc_RNA from 1 species
AGUCGUAACAAGGUCUCCGUUGGUGAACCAGCGGAGGGAUCAUUACCGAGUUGCAAAACUCCCAAACCCACUGUGAACCAAUACCACUGUUGCUUCGGCGGACACGCCCCGGGCGCACCUCCUCAGGGGGGUGUGCCCCGGAACCAGGCGCCCGCCGGGGGACCGAAACCUCUGUAUUUACCAUUUGAGUACUCUGAGUGUGAUUUACAAAAUCAAAAUUAAAACUUUCAACAACGGAUCUCUUGGCUCUAGCAUCGAUGAAGAACGCAGCGAAAUGCGAUAAGUAAUGCGAAUUGCAGAAUUCAGUGAAUCAUCGAAUCUUUGAACGCACAUUGCGCCCGCCAGUAUUCUGGCGGGCAUGCCUGUCUGAGCGUCGUUUCGACCCUCGCGCCCGGCUUCUGUCGGGGGCGGUGUUGGGGAUCGGCCACACCCUUUACUGGGCGGCCGUCCCCUAAAUCCAGUGGCGACCACGCUGUAGCCUCCCCUGCGUAGUACUAAAACCACCUCGCAGGCGGAGAGCGGUGCGGCCCGCCGUAAAACCCCCCAACUUUUACAAGGUCGACCUCAGAUCAGGUAGGAAUACCCGCUGAACUUAAGCAUAUCAAUAAGCGGAGGAAAAGAAACCAACAGGGAUUGCCUCAGUAACGGCGAGUGAAGCGGCAACAGCUCA